rnacentral:rRNA from 1 species
UACAGAGGUCUCAAGCGUUGUUCGGAUUUACUGGGCGUAAAGGGCGCGUAGGCGGCAAAUUAAGUCAGCUGUGAAAUCUCCGAGCUUAACUCGGAACGGUCAGCUGAUACUGAUCUGCUAGAGUGCGGAAGGGGCAAUCGGAAUUCUUGGUGUAGCGGUGAAAUGCGUAGAUAUCAAGAGGAACACCUGAGGUGAAGACGGGUUGCUGGGCCGACACUGACGCUGAGUGCGCGAAAGCCAGGGGAGCAAACGGG